rnacentral:tRNA from 1 species
GUGGCUCAGUGAGUAGGGCACCAGCCCCAUAAACUGAGGGUAGCUGGUUCGAAUCCAGCC